AUGGGAAAAGGCUUUGGAAAGGCAUCCAUCAGGGGCAAGCAUCUCCAUCCUGCAGCCUGGGGAGAAGGUAGCAGGGACUGGGGACACCCAUCAGAGCACUGCCAGCAGUGGGGACAGCCCAGCCUCACCCACAGCCCCAGCCCCAUGUCCUCGGAGCCCUUGGACGGGGCUGAGCGGAGAGGAAGCGGCUGGGAAAGUGGAUUUGGGGUUUUCCCUUUUCUCUGGCCCAGCACUGGAGGUUUUGGUGCCCCUGGCUGGCGUGGCUGUGAGGGGACACCUCGCAGAGCCCGUCCCCCCAGCCCUGCGGGAGCGAUGGGCUCACGUGGAGCACCCCGGGCGGGACCGGGCUGCAGAUCCAGCACCACGUCCCAGAUGCAGCACCACGUCCCUCACCCACGGCACAGGAGCUGCUGCCCCGCUGGGGCUGCACACAGCCCGUGGGGGACCCCCGGAACAAGGAAAAUCACCCCAAACGGCCGAGGCUGGCACGGCUCUGGAGGCAGCUCCCGCACCUCCAGCCCCACUGGAGACCCUUCACAACCCUUCAUCCCACCUGCGCUGCCUGUGAAACAGGGGCAGGGUUUUGUGGCCACAGCCCCCGUGGGAAGCAGCCCUGCUCCCCCUGCUCCCCCUGCUCCCCCUCCCAUGCAGCUUUCCAGGAGAAGGCUGGCCCUGAAUGCACAAAAUGAAAAUGAAAAUGCCUGCCAGAAACUCCUGCACCCCCACGGAUGCUCCCUGCCAUGCCCACCGUGGGUUUACCUCCGCCCCGAGCAGCCUGGCACACUCCCAGUCCAGGGGCAAGAGCAGCAAGGGAUGCCCCCACCAGCAAACCGCCGCCCAGCAGAGCUGCCGGGUGCCCGGGCACCGUCCGGCCCCGCGCAGGAGCGUGGCCCGGCGGAGAUGGCACCACCCCGGUGCCACCUGCGGAAUUCCCUUUACAACAAAAACCAAACAAAGUACCUAUUUAUUUCUAUAAACAGAAGAAGGAAAAAGAAAAAAAAGAUUUUAAAGGAAAAUUAUAUACUCAGCAUGUUUCUACACUCUAUGCUUUAA
rnacentral:lncRNA from 1 species